GCCUGUUUAUCAAAAACAUCUUUUCUUGUUUAUUUAUUUGAGAUUUGACCUGCUCUAUGAUUUAUUUAAUGGCCGCGGUAAUUUGACCGUGCAAAGGUAGCAUAAUCAUUAGUCUAUUAAUUGUGGACUUGUAUGAAUGGUUGGACGAAAUAUUGACUGUCUCGUUAUUAAAUAUUUAAUUUAAAUUUUGAGUUAAAAUGCUUAAAUGUUUUUAUAGGACGAGAAGACCCUUUAGAUCUUAAAUUAUUUAUUUUUAAUUUUAUUUUAGUUAUUAUUUAUUUAUUAGGAUUAUUUAUUUUUUGUUGGGGUGACAUGGAGAUAUAAUUAACUCUUUAUAAUUUUGUACAAUUAUUUUUGUUUAUAUGACCUUUUAUUAAUGUUAUAAGAUUUAGAUACCUAAGGGAUAACAGCGUAAUUUUUCUUGAGAGUUCGUAUCGACAGGAGAGGUUGCGACCUCGAUGUUGGAUUAAGAUUAUAGUUAGGUGUAGGUGCUUAAUUAAUAGGUCUGUUCGACCUUUAAAUUCUUACAUGAUCUGAGUUCAGACCGG
rnacentral:rRNA from 1 species